UUAGAGUUUGAUCUGGCUCAGGACGAACGCUGGCGGCGUGCUUAACACAUGCAAGUCGAACGGUGAAGCCCAGCUUGCUGGGUGGAUCAGUGGCGAACGGGUGAGUAACACGUGAGUAACCUGCCCCUGACUCUGGGAUAAGCCUUGGAAACGAGGUCUAAUACCGGAUAUGUGACGUUCAGGCAUCUGAUGCGUCUGGAAAGAUUUAUCGGUCAGGGAUGGACUCGCGGCCUAUCAGCUUGUUGGUGAGGUAAUGGCUCACCAAGGCUAUGACGGGUAUCCGGCCUGAGAGGGUGAACGGACACACUGGAACUGAGACACGGUCCAGACUCCUACGGGAGGCAGCAGUAGGGAAUAUUGCUCAAUGGGGGAAACCCUGAAGCAGCAACGCCGCGUGGAGGAUGAAGGUUUUCGGAUUGUAAACUCCUUUUCUAAGAGAAGAUAAUGACGGUAUCUUAGGAAUAAGCACCGGCUAACUCCGUGCCAGCAGCCGCGGUAAUACGGAGGGUGCAAGCGUUACUCGGAAUCACUGGGCGUAAAGAGCGCGUAGGCGGGAUAAUAAGUCAGAUGUGAAAUCCUACGGCUUAACCAUAGAACUGCAUUUGAAACUAUUAUUCUAGAGUAUGGGAGAGGUAGGUGGAAUUCUUGGUGUAGGGGUAAAAUCCGUAGAGAUCAAGAGGAAUACUCAUUGCGAAGGCGACCUGCUGGAACAUAACUGACGCUGAUGCGCGAAAGCGUGGGGAGCAAACAGGAUU
rnacentral:rRNA from 1 species